rnacentral:rRNA from 1 species
CUUCACUACAACUUUGCAUUGAUUUUGAAUUUUUGAUGUGUAGGAUAGUUGGGAGACUUUGAAGCUGUGUCGCUAGGCAUGGUGGAGUCAUCGUUGAAAUACCAACCUUUAAACAUUUAGAAUCUAAUCCCUAACGGGAAACAGUGCAUGGUGGGUAGUUUGACUGGGGUGGUCGCCUCCUAAAAUGUAACGGAGGCUCGCAAAGGUUCCCUCAGUACGGUUGGUAAUCGUACAUAGAGCGUAUUAGUAUAAGGGAGCUUGACUGUGAGACUGACAAGUCGAGCAGGGACGAAAGUCGGCUAAAGUGAUCCGGUGGUUCUGUAUGGAAGGGCCAUCGCUCAAAGGAUAAAAGGUA